rnacentral:lncRNA from 1 species
AGUAUUGUUAGGAUAAGAUUUAGAGUUAAAACAAAUUAUUCUAUUAAAUAGGAUUAUUAUCUUUUAAAUUUAAAUGAAUAGUAAAUAUAGGAUACGUUAGUUAUUAUUAACCUAGUUUAAUUAGGAUUUCUACCAUAAGCCUAUUUAAAGGCAUUCAGAUUUGGAAUAAAUAAGAAUCAAUUAUUAUAAAAAAUAAACUUGCGACUUCGAGAACGAGCCCGUUUUUGUCUUCAUCAUAGGUCGAAAGAAAGGUUCUCCCGCGUCUAAGACCGUGUUAACCGAUCCAAGAACAAGGGACCAUAACAGAUGGUUUUAUAGUUCUGAAUUCAAAGAAUUUAGAGAAGCAAAGAAGAAAAAAUCUGAAUAUUUUUCAUUCUGAAUCUGAAGAGAAAAUGAGAUAUUUAUACAAAUAAUUGACAGUUGUAACUGGAACUGCCUAAAGUAAAUACAGCUGGAACUAAUAAAGAACUGCCUGAGGAAGUUACAGCUUGGCUAAUAGAGAUAGAGCUGGCACUAAAUCCAAAGCAGUUAGAUGACUGUGCUAAGCUAAAAGGCCCAGAUACUAUAAUACAUUAGUAUUCUUAAAACAUGGAAGUGCAAAUGAAUAUUUACUGUUGUUAACGGAACACAAAAAAAAGUUACAACCUAAAACUGCAAAACCGUCAUCAAUUAAGGUGUAAUCGUAAAAUAAUAAACGUGAGCAUCAAUCAAGUUGUGAAAAACCCAUUUCAAUGGAAACAUUGCUUUGAGAUCUUUUGAAGUGAAACUAACCAUAA